UGCGUAGGCGGUUGCACAAGCUUGAUGUGAAAGCCCCGGGCUCAACCUGGGAAUGGCAUUGAGGACUGUGUGGCUUGAGUGCGGCAGAGGGAGGUGGAAUUCCAGGUGUAGCAGUGAAAUGCGUAGAGAUCUGGAGGAACACCGAUGGCGAAGGCAGCCUCCUGGGCCGACACUGACGCUGAGGGCACGAAAGCGUGGGGAGCAAACAGGAUUAGAUACCCUGGUAGUCCACGCCCUAAACGAUGUCAACUGGUUGUUGGGGAAGGCAACUUCCUUAGUAACGAAGCUAACGCGUGAAGUUGACCGCCUGGGGAGUACGGCCGCAAGGUUAAA
rnacentral:rRNA from 1 species